rnacentral:lncRNA from 1 species
UUAGUCUUAUCACAAAUAUUUUGUAAUAUAUGUAAAUGGUUACCUUACCACUUGCAGUAUAUUAUAAAUAAAAUGCUUUAAUUAAUGUUGUAUUAGUUUUGGUUGGGUUGUUUGUUAGUUGUGGGAUGAUAGGGAUUGGUUCUGCUAAAAAUAGGAUGUUUUGUUGGCAAUUCUGUUUUCUGUUUAUGUUUGGAUCUGCUGUCGCUGCCUGCUGUUCUUGUCCUGUUUUUCUUUCUGUUUGGUCUUUUUGGCUGCCCUGUGUUUUGUCCCAAGCUGCUGUGCAGCUAGCUCUAGUGGUAUACUAUAUCCAAGCAUAAGUAGUGGUUAGGAUAUGAAAAGGAACAAGAGAAAAAAUUUGAAACAAUACAAAUAAAAGUGCUACAACAGAAGAAAAAACAAUCUUCUCAUCAUCAAAAGAUACUACCAAGUACUAACUAACUAGGAAUCUUUGAAAGAAAACCAAAUAAAAAAGAUAUUAAGAUUCCAAGUAGCCCCUAAAAGGACAAGUUCCAUCAUAGAGAGACAGAAGAAUACCAAAGCAGCAGCACAAAGACCAAUCACUCCCUAAUAAACUGAAAAAUCAAAAGCAAUCAAAGGUUGUGAACCUUCUGGAAAAAAGUUCAAAGGAUCAUGCAUAGCAAUGUUGUAUUCCUUCGGUCUAGGGAUGUAGUUUUUCAAAGAUUUAGCGGCGCAGCUUGUUGUCCAUCUAUGUUUCGUUUAUAUAGAAUUAUCUCGAGAAGUCAAAAUUAUCCAGAGGGUGCAGGGUGCAGAAUCCAUUGGUUUAAAGGAUAAAAGAACCUUUGAUUUCAACCAUUUCCAAGACAGGAUUUUUAUUUCUCCGAGCAAGUCAUCCGGUGAUCUGAUUAUGUUCUUAAAUUAUUCUCGUUACGCCGUUUGCAUAAAAGUCAAACACAUGCAAACCAAAUGACACUGAAUCAAUCCUCACUUUACCUCUGCCCGGUAAACUUGGAAAUUGAAUUAGUUUUGACUCAACAGAGUUAUGCAUCACAGUAGACAAAUUCAAACAAUCUAAAAUCUUAUGCCAAAUCGCCAAAUUUUAUUUCUGAAAGUCAAAUACAAUGAUCCUGAUCACUAUAAAUAAAUUCCACAAAAGAUAAAGAGAACUUAAUUCUAAAAUAAUUUUUAAGAGGAGAACUUAAUUCAAUCCACCGUAAUUGAAUGGUCACAAGUAGUGACCAUAUAUCCAUAAUCUAUAUUGCACUUACAAUAGAAGAAACAACAUAAGCAAGCUUAAUUUAACUUUAUUAAACUUAAUUAGCUUGCUCAUAUUAGACAUUAAAUAUUGCAUAAGCUUCAUUUGAUCCAACCAUAGACCAAGUAAUUUUCUCUACACCCACGUCUGUAUCCAACCCUAAUGCAUUCCACACAGCUACAGAUCCAUCCACAAUAUUGUUACGACAAGGUGGUUGACCUGCAUGCUCGGCAUCACACCCAUUAAUCGAAUCACACUCGUCCACCACUUUAGCCGUCACGCUCUUCCCGUUCCUCGCCAUGAUUCUAAUAAUUUUUCCACAUCUUGACCCUUUGUUGUACCACCCAGUGGACAAAGCCACCACUCUUUCCGAGUUUUUAUGGAAUUGUUCGUCGCACUCAGACGCACUUCCUCCGUCUCCGCCUUCACUGAAGUCGUUCAACGUGAGUAAUGCUUGUGUGGAGGAUGAAAUUGGUGGAGAACACUUGAAUUGAGGGUGUGAUUUUCCUUUGCAUUUUAAGGUUCCAGAAGAUUUGCAGUCACCGCCGCCACUUGGUGGUGGCGGNNNNNNNNNNNNNNNNNNNNAUUUGUUAUGAGAAAAGGGAUGUUUAUGAUGUUGAAAAGGAAAACAGAAGCUAGAAAAACACCAUUUGAAAUGUGAAUCAUUUUGAUUAGAGUAGAGAGAGUGGUUGCAAUGUUAUUUUUGUAUAUCCUUUAUAUACAGUUUUAUACAGUGUUUUUGAAUACUGCAAAAAUAAUAUUAAUAAGAAAAAACUAUGCACAAGUAGUGCCAUAGAAAGCUCAAGUACAAAUUGUAUACAGUUUAAAAUACUUUAAAAACAAAGUCAGAUUUGCUUGUCCAAGAUAUGCUUUGAUGACAAUAUAGAGUGACUUAAAUGAAAGAUGGAGUAAGAUGUUUUUUUGAACAAGAGAUGGAGUAAGAUGUUAACUUUCAUUUAUCUAUAAAAGUCAACUGUAAUGAUCUAGACAUUACUAAUAAUAAACUUCAUCAAAUAUAAGAGAAAAAUUAUCUGUUGAAAAUUUGAAACUUCAUGAAAGGCUUCUUUUUUUGGUAUGGACUUGUUGAUAGGACCGUAAAGAAUGACAAAAAAAAAAACUUUGAGGCUUUUUCGCUACAAAAAAAUUAUAUAAAAUUGUGUCAGAAUAGGAAUUGACUGGAUCUGCCAUUGGCACCACAACUUAUAGGAAUACAAGAUGGACGGUCCAACUCUCCAUUUUUGGAUGCAUAUGAGAGAAAAUGAUCACCCACCACAGAGAAGACUUCAUUUGUGUUGUAGUUUGAAAGCAACUCAGGAGUUUUUGUUUGAUCAAUCAUUACGUUCUCAAUUAUCAUGACCCAACAGACUCUCGUUGAUUAACAUAAUGUUCUCAAUCAUCAUCAGAGAACAAUGAUAUGAAUGUUAUGACUAAUUAACAACAGAUUAUACAACAAUUUACCCACAAACUUUUGAAUAGAACCAACAAGAAGAUAGUUACGAGAAGAGAGGUGAUAGUUGAGAGAAGAGAGAAGAGAGAAGACGAGGAUGAAUGAUGCAAAGUAAGAAUGAAGGGUGAUAUUUAUCGACGAGAGCAAGACAAUUGAUUCAGCAGACAAGAGACAACAUCUCUGCAAAAGUUAAUCAGAAAAGACCAUCGUCCAAGGGCCAAGAUUCCUUGACCAACGACUCAAUUCGGAUUCUAUAACUCGGACAACUAAAACCACCACUUCGAGUUGUAUAACUCGAGCAUAAUAUAUUAAUAUGUAUAACGAAAUCAGAGGGAGCGCGAGAGACUUAGGGAAAAAGAAAGACACUAUUUUGACAUACCAGUCAUAUACAGCCCGUUUAAAUAAUUAUCAAUCAUUCUUUUAUUGGACUGAUGCAUGUUUUAGCCCAUUGAUCUCUUACGGCAUUUUUAAAAUAAAAAAUCUUAUGGAUACUAGUUUUGGGCCUAUACUAUAAUACUAUGGAACAAUUAAAGUCGCUCAUAUUAAAAGUGUUAAGAAUCCAUUAUGAUCAAUUAGUAUUGAAUUGUAUUUAUAGUAGUGAUUACAUUUUCUUAUUAUGUACAGCUCAUGUGACACACAAAUAUUAUACAGAAAAAUACAUUUCCUAUCAAGGAGGGGUUGAGAUUAGUCGACUCUAACCUUCAAAUUCCAGACCAGUUAAGGAAUGUGAAAUUGAAAAAUAUGGUGAAUAAUGAAGUGUGGAAUUGGAAUCUGCUUGCUACAUGCGUACCAACGGAUAUUAAGGAAAAAAUUGCAGCACUAUUACCUCCUGAUGAGUGAUGAUAGCAAUGGUGUGAAUGUGCAGGUCUGUAAAGAAAAUGCUAUGGGAAUAUAUUCAAUAUCUGAGAUGUAUCAUGCCUUGUGUGAGUUUGAUACAGACGAGACAGAUGUAGUUUGGCAGCAUGUCUGCGUUUGAAGGUCCCUGAGCGAGUUAGACCUUUUGUCUGGAUUGUUAAACAUGGCAGAUUACUGACAAAUGAGCGGAAGCAUCGAAUGGGCUUGGGAUCGGAUCAGUGUGAUUAUUGCAGAGACUGCACGGAAACAAGGAGAAUGGAUUAGUGCAGUGGAUGUUUCUUUAUGGCACCAGUUUUUUACAAGUGAUCUAAAGGAAUGGAUUGCUAUUAAUAUAUUAAGUACCAUGGACAAGAAUUUACAUGGUGAAUGGAGUAGUUUUUGGGCAAUGGCAUGUCAUCUUGCUUGGAAUUGGAGGAACAAGGAGAAACAAGAAGAAAACUUCAUACGCCCCAUCAAUCAAACUCAGUUUGUUAGGCAAAGCAUUGAUAGCUACAUGAUGGCAGAUGGAGUGAUUCAGAAAGGGAACCAGCUUCAGCAAACAAUAAUCCAAGUUGGAUGGAAACCACCUACCUAGUGUAGGAUGGGUGUGCUUGAAUAUUAAUGGAGCUUGUAGAGAUGGAAUCAUUGGAUGUGGAGGUGUCAUUAGAGAUAGUGAUGGAGAAUGGCUAAUAGGUUUCUCUAAACUUAUUGGGAUAGGGGAUGCAUAUAUAGCAGAGUUAUGGGGUGUGAUUGAAGGCCUUAAGCUGGCGAGACGGAUGAAUUUUUCUAGAGUGGAGGUAAGAUUGGAUUCUAUAGGAGUUGUCAACGAAAUUAGCAAAAUCUGUGGAAGGGCGCUUGUUGAAAGGAUUUGUCAAAUGUUGGAAUUUGAUUGGGAAGUGGAAGUUAAACACUCUUACCGUGAAGCUAUAUCAACUGGCGGAUGCACUAGCCAUUUACUCUGUGCAUGAUGAGUGCUGUUUAUUUGAGGAUUGUCCAUACGAAUUUAAGCACCUCUUUGGUUGCAGAUGAGAAGGGGACUAUUACCCCCUAGGAGAGUUUUCUUGUAGUUCUUUUCACCCCGGGCUUUAAGCGUGCUAAAAAGUAAGAGACUAUUUUUUGACAUAUCCUACUUCAUUGUUGUUAGUAAACAAGGGUGAAGCUUAUGGUUUGUUGCAAACAAGUGAGUUACAGAAUUAAAACUUGACAACAUUAUAUUUAAGCUCUGUUUGGUAAAAAUAAGCUAUAAGUUAGCUGAUAACUGAUAAGCUAGCUUAUAGUUGAAAAGCUAAUAGAAUAAAAUUAAAGUGUUUGGCAAAUUUAGUUGUUAUAAGUACAAAAUGACAUAAAAAUCCAUGGUUAGUGGUAGUUUUUUUUUUUGUAAGUGUUAAUGGGUAGUUAUUAUAAAUUUUAAAAAAUAAAUAAAAUUAAUGAGGGUAAAUAUGGAAUAAAAUAAAAAAGCUAUAAGUUAUAAGCUCAUAUGCUACUUAAAAUAACAUCUUAAAAAACGCUAUAAGCUAGUUAGAGAAGCUCGUUACCAAACACUUCACAUUUUUUUCAAACAAACUUAUAAACUAGUUCAAUGAGCUAUAAGCUAGCUUAUUGGACUAACCAAAUAGUUUCUUAUAGUAUUUGAGCUUGAUGCCAAAGUUGCACUAGUAGUUUGAUAAUUUCAAUAACUCUUGCUCCAAUUUAUCUUAUUUUGGCUUUAUUGCCAUUAGAGAUUGUACUUCUACCUUAUUUGUUCUAUGUCCAAAUCCGUUGCUUGAAUUUUUUUUAAAUUAAAGUAAUAUAGUUACCAUAAGUUAGCAAUAGCGAUUACAUAUCUAUAAUUAAUCCUCAAGUGUUAAACUGACACAAAAUUAUAUGUAGUUUUGNNNNNNNNNNNNNNNNNNNNNNNNNNNNNNNNNNNNNNNNNNNNNNNNNNNNNNNNNNNNNNNNNNNNNNNNNNNNNNNNNNNNNNNNNNNNNNNNNNNNNNNNNNNNNNNNNNNNNNNNNNNNNNNNNNNNNNNNNNNNNNNNNNNNNNNNNNNNNNNNNNNNNNNNNNNNNNNNNNNNNNNNNNNNNNNNNNNNNNNNNNNNNNNNNNNNNNNNNNNNAAAGAAAGAGUACUAUUAUACAAAAAAGAAAAAGAAAAAGAAAAGAGUACUAACCGAGACAGGUGUGUGUGGGUGGCUGCAGUUGCUUGCUUGCUUGCAUCAACAAGGAAUAGAAACUGCAAUUUGAGCGCCGAUUAAUUAGAAAGUGCAAUGAAGAAGAAAAGAAACAACUCAUCAUUUCUCAAUUGCUAGAUAAGGAAACAACAACAACUUAACUACUCCACUAAGCAAAAGGCAUUUUUUACCUAUUUUCAUCUCUGCAUUAUUAAUUACGCCCACUUCAAUCAACAUCAUUGAAUCUUCAAAC